GACGAACCGUGCAAACGUUGUUCGGAAUCACUGGGCUUAAAGGGCGCGUAGGCGGGCCACCAAGUCCGGGGUGAAAUCUUUCGGCUCAACCGGAAAAUUGCCUUGGAUACUGGUGGUCUGGAGGGAGGUAGGGGCAUGUGGAACUUCCGGUGGAGCGGUGAAAUGCGUUGAUAUCCUAAGGAACACCGGUGGCGAAAGCGGCUCACUGGACCUCUUCUGACGCUGAGGCACGAAAGCUAGGGUAGCGAACGGG
rnacentral:rRNA from 1 species